UACGAACGGUCCAAACGUUAUUCGGAAUCACUGGGCUUAAAGCGUCCGUAGGCGGCUCGGAAAGUAGGGUGUGAAAUCCCACGGCUCAACCGUGGAAUUGCGCUCUAAACUAUCGAGCUAGAGGGAGAUAGAGGUGAGCGGAACUGAUGGUGGAGCGGUGAAAUGCGUUGAUAUCAUCAGGAACACCGGUGGCGAAGGCGGCAUCCUGGACCGGCAUUGACGCUGAGGAGCGAAAGCUAGGGGAGCAAACGGG
rnacentral:rRNA from 1 species